rnacentral:rRNA from 1 species
AUUGAACGCUGGCGGCAUGCCUUACACAUGCAAGUCGAACGGUAACGGGCCUUCGGGUGCCGACGAGUGGCGAACGGGUGAGUAAUGUAUCGGAACGUACCUUUCAGUGGGGGAUAACGUAGCGAAAGUUACGCUAAUACCGCAUAUUCUGUGAGCAGGAAAGCAGGGGAUCGCAAGACCUUGCGCUGAUUGAGCGGCCGAUAUCAGAUUAGCUAGUUGGGGAGGUAAAGGCUCACCAAGGCGACGAUCUGUAGCGGGUCGGAGAGGAUGAUCCGCCACCCUGGAACUGAGACACGGUCCAGACUCCUACGGGAGGCAGCAGUGGGGAAUUUUGGACAAUGGGGGAAACCCUGAUCCAGCCAUGCCGCGUGAGUGAAGAAGGCCUUCGGGUUGUAAAGCUCUUUCGGCCGGGAAGAAAUCGUAUCAGCUAAUACCUGGUGCGGAUGACGGUACCGGCAUAAGAAGCACCGGCUAACUACGUGCCAGCAGCCGCCGUAAUAC